rnacentral:misc_RNA from 1 species
GAUGAAGAACGCAGUGAAAUGCGAUAAGUAAUGUGAAUUGCAGAAUUCAGUGAAUCAUCGAAUCUUUGAACGCACAUUGCGCCCGUCAGUAUUCUGGCGGGCAUGCCUGUUCGAGCGUCAUUACGCCCCUCAAGUCCCCUGUGGACUUGGUGUUGGGGAUCGGCGAGGCUGGUUUUCCAGCACAGCCGUCCCUUAAAUUAAUUGGCGGUCUCGCCGUGGCCCUCCUCUGCGCAGUAGUAAAACACUCGCAACAGGAGCCCGGCGCGGUCCACUGCCGUAAAACCCCCCAACUUUUUAUAGUUGACCUCGAAUCAGGUAGGACUACCCGCUGAACUUAAGCAUAUCAAUAAGCGGGA